CAUGGAGAAACUCAAGAUAUUUCGUAGAAAAGUAUGUUAGAAGACAUCCUAAGAAAACCCUAAUAUUCAAAAAGACUAAGCCACCUAGAAACUUCAGAUUCCUGCAGAAUUUGACAGAGGUCAGAACGACAAUGCUUCCAAUAGGUCCAGACAGAUUUUGAGUUUCCUAUCAAAUUGGCGUGGUCACAACAGAUGAAAAUCAGUGGAGAGUUUUGUGAUGACACUGCACAGAAGGAAAAAGUGAGCUGGACUGACUGCCUCUUCAUCUGCCUCAGGUCAUUCUGGUCAUUCCCUUCUAAAGGUAAUUGAUUUCCAAAGGUCACGGACUCUCCUAAAAAAAAAAGUACAAUGUACUUCAAAAUCUAUGGGUUUUUUUCCUACUCUCAACUUAAACAAGCUCUUUUCUUGCUAUUCCCUUCUCACAUAAAACACAGAUUACUCGUGGAUCAGAAAAGUAGAAGGGCUAAGAAAAGUGAGCCAACUAGACCAUGACAUUGUGAGAGACUUGCUGAAGUCUUUCUAACUGAUCAGGGAGCUCACUAUUGCCAAUGCUAGUGCAUCCUCUCAGACUAAGGAGGCGUUGAAAUCAGUUCUGUAAUCCCAGACUUGAAGAUCAGUGUGCUAAAGUUGUCCAGGUUGCUCGGUUUGAGGAUUAUUUUAGGUACUGAAGUUAAUAUUUUAAGGGUAAAAAAAUCAUAAAAUUUACUACAAAUCAUUUUUUAAAGUAAGGAUUAACCUGCAUACCCCCAUAGAAACUUAAUUUAAAAUAAGAGAGUUUUUUUUUUUUUUUUACUGGAAAGUUUUCCUGCAAGGAUGUGCACAAACAUCCCUACUCUAUCUGAAGCAAAAAGGCUGGAAAGUGAAGCAGCAAGAAAAAGAGUAAUUUGGAAAGAAAAUACAGG
rnacentral:lncRNA from 1 species